rnacentral:lncRNA from 1 species
AUCCAUAAAGAUGACCAUUUGUAUUUUCUUAUUUGACCCACUAAUGUGAUUGCAUUUUAUUAAUAGGACUUUCCUGCAUUCCUACAGCAAAUCCUGGUUGGUCAUGGUGGAGACUGUAAAGCAAUCAUUCUCAAGGAGGGGCUUUUUCACGCGGUAUGCCUGGAGAGAGGCUGCACCACCACCACGUUCCUCCCCGAUGAGUCCAGUGAGCCACGGCUGUGGGCUACGGUGUUGUGGUGCUUGGGUGUGUUGGAAGGAAAUGGUUCCCGAGGCAUGCCAGCUAGCACCUGACCUACAAGAUUCCAGCUGUUUAACUGCCAUCACAAAGGCUCAUGACGUGUUGACAGUAUUUCUGCCCGCUGCUCUGAAAAUUCAAGGAAAUAAAUACCUGACAUUUAUUGAAUGCCAGAAGCUGUUCUAAGAACUUUCUAUGUAUUAUCUAUUUUAGUCAUUAUAAUAGC